rnacentral:rRNA from 1 species
AAGUCGUAACAAGGUUUCCGUAGGUGAACCUGCGGAAGGAUCAUUAUCGAAUAAACUUGAACAGGCUGUUUCUGCUGGUCCAUAGGACAUGUGCACGCUUGUUCAUCUUUAUCAUUUCUCCAACUGUGCACGUAUUGUAGACCUUGGGGAUGGAAUUCGUUCCGAGUGGGGACUGCUGUGCUUCAAAAAGAGGUCGGCUUUCCCUUUAGGUCUAUGUCAUUUCCUCACAACCACUGUGUUUAGAAUGUAUGAAUAAAAAAAGUUAUAAAAACAACUUUCAGCAACGGAUCUCUUGGCUCUCGCAUCGAUGAAGAACGCAGCGAAAUGCGAUAAGUAAUGUGAAUUGCAGAAUUCAGUGAAUCAUCGAAUCUUUGAACGCACCUUGCGCUCCUUGGUAUUCCGAGGAGCAUGCCUGUUUGAGUGUCAUUUGAACCCUCAAAACCAUGUUCAAUUCAUUGGACAGUGGCUUUGGACUUGGGGGCUGCAGGCUUUUUCCCUUCGAGAAAGGUCUGCUCCCCUGAAAUGCAUCAGUGGUAUCUGGAGCGGAAACCGCCAGGUGUGAUAACAUCAUCUACGCCUUUGGUAUGCCGCGCAUUGUGCUGCUUCCAACGCGCCCAUUAUUGACAAACUUGACCUCAAAUCAGGUAGGACUACCCGCUGAACUUAAGCAUAUCAAUAAGCGGAGGAAAAGAAACUAACAAGGAUUCCCCUAGUAACUGCGAGUGAAGCGGGAAGAGCUCAAAUUUGUAAUCUGGCGGUCCUUGACCGUCCGAGUUGUAAUCUAGAGAAGUGCUACCUGUGCUGGACCGUGUACAAGUCUCCUGGAAUGGAGCAUCACAGAGGGUGAGAAUCCCGUCUUUGACACGGACUGCCUGUGCGUUGUGGUGCGCUCUCGAAGAGUCGAGUUGUUUGGGAAUGCAGCUCAAAAUGGGUGGUAAAUGCCAUCUAAAGCUAAAUAUUGGCGAGAGACCGAUAGCGAACAAGUACCGUGAGGGAAAGAUGAAAAGCACUUUGGAAAGAGAGUGAAACAGUACGUGAAAUUGUUGAAAGGGAAACGCUUGAAGUCAGUCGCGCCGUUCGGGAUUCAGCCUUGCUUCUGCUCGGUUUACUUCCCGUUGGGUGGGUCAACAUCAGUUUCGGUCGGAGGAGAAAGGCUUGGGGAAGGUGGCAGCAUUCGUGCUGUGUUAUAGCCCCUUGUUGUAUACUUCGACUGGGACUGAGGACCGCAGCACGCCUUUGGCCGGGGUUCGCCCACGUACGUGCUUAGGAUGUUGGCAUAAUGGCUUUAAGCGACC